GACGAACGCUGGCGGCGUGCCUAAUACAUGCAAGUCGAACGCUGAAGAGAGGAGCUUGCUCUUCUUGGAUGAGUUGCGAACGGGUGAGUAACGCGUAGGUAACCUGCCUUGUAGCGGGGGAUAACUAUUGGAAACGAUAGCUAAUACCACAUAACAAUGGAUGACACAUGUCAUUUAUUUGAAAGGGGCAAUUGCUCCACUACAAGAUGGACCUGCGUUGUAUUAGCUAGUAGGUGAGGUAAUGGCUCACCUAGGCGACGAUACAUAGCCGACCUGAGAGGGUGAUCGGCCACACUGGGACUGAGACACGGCCCAGACUCCUACGGGAGGCAGCAGUAGGGAAUCUUCGGCAAUGGGGGCAACCCUGACCGAGCAACGCCGCGUGAGUGAAGAAGGUUUUCGGAUCGUAAAGCUCUGUUGUAAGUCAAGAACGGGUGUGAGAGUGGAAAGUUCACACUGUGACGGUAGCUUACCAGAAAGGGACGGCUAACUACGUG
rnacentral:rRNA from 1 species